rnacentral:rRNA from 1 species
GAGGCACCGCCUGCCCAGUGACUUCUGUUUAACGGCCGCGGUAUCCUGACCGUGCAAAGGUAGCAUAAUCAUUUGUUCUCUAAAUAAGGACUUGUAUGAAUGGCUCCACGAGGGUUUUGCUGUCUCUUAUUUUCAAUCAGUGAAAUUGACAUUCCCGUGAAGAGGCGGGAAUAAAAAAAUAAGACGAGAAGACCCUAUGGAGCUUUAACUAAUUAACUCAUAAACCCUUAUUCAUUCUCUAUAAGAAAUAAGCCACUUUUAAUUGAGUUAACAGUUUAGGUUGGGGUGACCUCGGAAUAAAAAUUAACUUCCGAGAAAAACUAUUGAGACCCACAAGUCAAAAUUAAUAUACUACACACUGAUCCGCCAUUGACGAUCAACGAAACAAGUUACCCUAGGGAUAACAGCGCAAUCCUAUUUAAGAGUUCAUAUCGACAAUUAAGGGUUUACGACCUCGAUGUUGGAUCAGGACAUCCCAAUGGUGCAGCAGCUAUUAAUGCGUUCGUUU